CCGUCACCGAGUUAUCAUAGUAGCCGCUUGAUAAUAGACGUACCGCUGUUAUUUCAUACGCUACGAGCUCCUUUACAUCUAAAAAAGCCAAAAUUCAUUACCGGGUUUGGAAUCAAUGCCGCAAAUGGAGUCAAUUAUGUCGAGUUUCGUCGUAUCGAGACCGCGGCUACCUCCGAUCUGCACUUUAUCCCGCGGACUCCUUGCAUCGCACUGAAAAUAAAUCGAUCGCAAUAAAUAUUGUAAAAGAAGCAGCCACUGUAAAAAAGCGUGUAAAAGUUUUUGCAAAUAUAUGAAAGAGUUUAACUUUUGUAGAAAAA